CGCCAGGGGCCAUGGAAUGCGGACUGACGAACCCCGCCAGGGCCGGAAGGCAGCAACGGCAGUCUGUUCUGCAUCUGCCGUGGUUUCCCUGGCAUUC
rnacentral:SRP_RNA from 1 species